CAACCCCUCAGGCCCUAGCGCCUGGCGUCGGGGCUCUCCCGCCCAGUGCGGGAGUCCCCUAGAACCAGUGGCGGACCCGCCGCGGCUCCGAGCGCAGUAGUAAAAUUCUCGCUUAGGAGGUCCGCGGGGGGCUACCGGCCGUAAAACCGGGCCUAAAAAACCCAACUUCUAA
rnacentral:misc_RNA from 1 species